rnacentral:rRNA from 1 species
CCACCCCUUUCAGCAGGGAAGCCGCGAAAGUGACGAUACCUGCAGAAGAAGCGCCGGCUAACUACGUGCCAGCAGCCGCGGUAAUACGUAGGGCGCAAGCGUUGUCCGGAAUUAUUGGGCGUAAAGAGCUCGUAGGCGGUUUGUCGCGUCUGCUGUGAAAACCCGAGGCUCAACCUCGGGCCUGCAGUGGGUACGGGCAGACUAGAGUGCGGUAGGGGAGACUGGAAUUCCUGGUGUAGCGGUGGAAUGCGCAGAUAUCAGGAGGAACACCGAUGGCGAAGGCAGGUCUCUGGGCCGCAACUGACGCUGAGGAGCGAAAGCAUGGGGAGCGAACAGGAUUAGAUACCCUGGUAGUC